CGUCGGUCCGCACUCCCUGUGACCCAGGACGUCAUGAUGCCUGUCUGUUUUCUCAAUGAUAACUUGGCAGAAGAAGAGAGAGGCUGCCAGGUUCUCCUCGGGUGGUUACGUGACCAAAUGCCGUCCCUGCUGUUUGUCACCAAUCCACAUACCAGUGCAGGCAGCCAAGUGGUUUCCUUCCCCAGGGUGAGAUGUCUGAGCAACUAGAAGAGAGCAGAGCACAGUAUUCAAGUGCUCCAAAGAUGUCCCUAGAAAACAAUCAAGUCAGAUGGAUGACAAAACUAUUUAACUGGAGAAGCACAUUAUGGUGAAGAAGAACCUGAUGUGGGGGUGAAGAGGUGUUAUCUCCUGUACCUAGAAGAGCCAUUGUCACAGAGUAGGUGUUCAGUAAGUGUGUGGUAAAUGAAUGAUUGGCCAAAGAGAAAUGCAGCAUGGGAGAAAUUCAAAUGAAGCAGCCUGCAGUCUGUAUCUUUCUGGGUCACUGCCAACUGGUCUCACCUGGACUUCCUGGAUAGCUGGGAAGGCACCACCUACCACUUGCUGGACUUCCUGAUGCUGACUCCUGCAGGAACCCCAGCCUGUCUCCAUGGUAACGGAUUUGCACACUAUUCUUCUGCUUAGAUUUUUCCCCUCCUACCUACAUGUGGACAAUCAGCCUCACACCUGCCCUAUCCUAGAAGCCACCUCUAGCCUCAAGUUUUAGUUUUUUGCCAGCUGGUAAUUUCCAAGCACAUGAAAUUGUUGACUGUGUGACCUUGAGGUCUCCUAGGGGGCAAUGCUAGAGGUCAUGACAUAGAUACCAAGAAACAUCCUCAUUUGCACCCUAUGUCACUUUUUAGAGAAACAAAAUAAACCUUUACACUGUAUAAUUAUCAUGUUAAGAGCCAAACCAGAGUGACUGAAUCAGACUGGUGAAUUCAGUUGUCUGUGUGGAAGUUGAAGGUCAAUGAAAUAUGCCCAAAUUGGUAACCAAAAUAAUAGAUUUAAUUUGCCAUGAAUUUUAAAAAACUGUUUUUUCCAAAGACAAAAAUAGUAAAUUUCUGAGAACAGUGGACAACUUUAAAUACAAUAGUCUCUGAGCUAUAGAUUUCAAACAAUUUUCAAACAAGGGCACCAUUGUUUUUGAAAGGAAUGGUAUUUAAAAUCUCAUACAGAACUGAGAUCAAAGGGGAGAAUCUCUAAUUCAAUGGCAGCAUGAAGGUCAUCUCUCUUCUAAGUGGUCCCGAUCUGGUCAGGGAGACCUGUCAGAUAGCUCCUUGCCAAAACAGACAGACAGACAUACACACAUACACACACAAAACAAAACAAAACAAAAAAAACCUCUAUCUGAUCUCAGUAUUUUUUUAAGGGCUUAUAUGACUAAUUCCUGAAAGUGUUUUGUGUGAAUUACUCAAGAUGAUAUGCUCUAUAUGUGUAAUAAGAAUUAUAAUGCAUUUACCAUCACAUAUAAAUAAUAAAAAAAAUAAUUAAAAAAAAAGAUAGGGUUGUAAAAGACAUGGAUAGUUUUACUUUAGGAACUGAAUAUGAAGGAAGAGGAAAACCUCUGAGUUGCCCAGGAUAAAGAAUCUCACUGACCAAGGGGGAUUUUGUAAACAAAAUUCCCAUAGCAGGCUUCUUGAUAACAUCACCUCUCUUGUUACUAGAUGUUUGGCAGACCUGCAGUUCUCCUGACAAGGGGAUACUUGGCUUUGAAUUUUGCCCCCAUCCCCAUGACCAACCCUACCUCCAACCCUACUGCCUGUAACCUUGACCACUUCCUUUGCCUGGCUGCGGUGGUUCUAAACUCCCUCCUAUCACUCUAAAGUGUCCAACACUAUAAAAAUUUUAUGGUACACAAUAGAUUUUUGCCUAAUUCUAUGUUCUUACCACCACCUACAAGCCUAUCAUGAUUUAAAAGUCAGCCCCUCCAUCUCUCCUCUUCUGUUACCAUCUGGAAAAAUUAAAAAAUUUAAACUGGAGUGAUGAAGACAGUUUUAAUAGAUCUAGACAUAUUGAUUAGACUGAUUAUUUUCCAUAUUUUAAUCUGUUUUGCAAGGGAAGCAGAAAUAUUACAGCAGAACUCAAACUUUGACUUCUCUCAGUAUUUUCUGGCUGAUAAUAGUCUGGCUUAGUCUUAGAACUUAGAAGAAAAAAAGAAGAAAAAGAAACAGUGAAUUUUGCCAUUCUGUGAUGUUACAUUAGAAAAAUUAAAGAUAAUAAAUAAAUAUGAUAGUAUUCAUUUGUUCUCUUAGAACAUUUAUAAGAUAUUCCCUUCUAAUGUUCACUAGAUUCUGCAUGACUCCAACUCUCCUGUCCUGGGUAAACAGUUUAGCUUACAUUAAUUUUUAUUGGUAGUGGCAUUACCCAGCACUCAAACUACAACCAUAAUUUAUUCAUGGAUGAAUCAAAUGUCAAUGCUUCCCUGACAGAGUCUUGUGUGAUUUCCAGUUAUGUCCUUUUACUUGGAAUCAAAAACUUAUAUUGCACUUUUACUCCCUCGGGGUUAGUUUGGAAAGUUUGUUUUAUUAGGCAACAGACAUAGGAAAAGGUUCCAGUUCUUCUUAAUAGUUGCAUUUAAAUGCAUAUAUGAACAUUUCAUUGUAGGUAGUUGGGACUAAAAGUUCACAAGGAAGUUAGCCAUUAGAUAUAUGGUCUGUUUCUAUGCCCAAAGUUAAUGCUGAAAUGUUCAAAAAACUCUCCUAAAAUUCAAUCUGAGCUACUUAUGCACAAGGGCUGUAGGAUUGGCCUCCAUACAAUUAUUUAAGAUGUUAUAAAGAGUGUUUUCCAUCUUUCUUAUGCUUGGAAAUACUUAGAUUUUAUGACUGCUGAGUCAGAGCCAAAAAAAUAUAAUUUUAUGCCAUAAUAUACAACCUUUUCCUUUGGCUGUGAAAAUUUAUAUGUACAUAUUUAUGUGCAUAUAUAGAUAAAAAUCUUCAUAAACAGAGUGGCCCAUUUGAGAUGAACUCUAUUUAAAGCAUGCCAUUACUGACUCUGAUGAUAUUACUGCUAAUGUUUAAAAAAAUCAGUUCUCUCCAUAACUUAC